CUGGAAUUUGUCAGCUUACAGACCUAACCUUGCCAUCCUCCUUCCCUCUCUAGGGAGCCUACAAAGAGGUCCAGGAAGGUUUUCUUUUUAAAAUGUCAGAAGUUGCUAUUUGUUCUCCUUUCUCAGAAUAGAGUAAUAGUUUGGCACUUCUCUCUUGAAAAAAGUUGUGCUCCCAACAGAUAUAAUCCUGGCUGGGUACAUCUUGGGUCAUUCAUGGGGAUAGAGUAGGCAGGGUGUGUAGAAUCUUCUUCCAUCACAGCAUGAAACUGAGUGAAGACUUCAGACCAUGACAUCUGCAGAUGUUGGGCUUCAGUUGUGGGUAGCUUUCACUCUCACGAUGGGAAUAUGACUGCUCCUCUUCCAGCCCCAUGUCUGCACUAUAAGCAGGAAGAAGGUUUAAGGGUAAAGGGAGGGCCAAUCCCCUCCCAAGACUGUCACCUACAUCUCACCGGUUCCUCCAUUUUAUACUCCUUUCUUCCUGCUGGUGGGCAUGAUGGCUGGAGUUGAUGCAGUCAUUUUAGCACAAUGGGGAAAAGACCACGUGAGUACUAGAGGCUUCAUUAUGAAUAACAUUGAACAACUGGAACAACGCUAGCAGCUGCAAAUCCUCAAACUUCUCAUUAUGUGUCAAAAAUAAACUACUUGUAUUAGACAC
rnacentral:lncRNA from 1 species